UACGGAGGAUUCAAGCGUUAUCCGGAUUUAUUGGGUUUAAAGGGAGCGUAGGUGGAUUGUUAAGUCAGUUGUGAAAGUUUGCGGCUCAACCGUAAAAUUGCAGUUGAAACUGGCAGUCUUGAGUACAGUAGAGGUGGGCGGAAUUCGUGGUGUAGCGGUGAAAUGCGUAGAUAUCAGGAGGAACACCAGUGGCGAAGGCGGCUUGCUGGACGAUGACUGACGUUGAGGCACGAAAGCGUGGGUAUCGAACAGG
rnacentral:rRNA from 1 species